CGCCGCCGGGUCCGGUCGACCACGCCGUGCGCUCACGCGUCGGCGGCGAUUGCUGGAUGGCCUAGGGGGCCUACAAGCUUACCGAAGUCAGCCAAACUCCGAAUGCCGGUGUGUGAGAGCGUGGCAGUGAGACUGCGGGGGAUAAGCUUCGUAGUCGAGAGGGAAACAGCCCAGAUCGCCGGCUAAGGCCCCUAAGCGUGUACUAAGUGGAAAAGGAUGUGGGGUCGCUUAGACAACCAGGAGGUUGGCUUAGAAGCAGCCACCCUUGAAAGAGUGCGUAAUAGCUCACUGGUCAAGUGAUCCUGCGCCGACAAUGUAGCGGGGCUCAAGUACACCGCCGAAGCCGCGGCAUUCACGCAAUAGCCCGUCCCAGCUGUAGUGGUUGGGGCCAGGUGUGUGGAUGGGUAGGGGAGCGUCCUGUGGCCGUGGAAGCAGCAGUGUGAACUAGCUGUGGAGGCCAUGGGAGUG
rnacentral:ncRNA from 1 species